UGAACGACACAUACAAGUUCUUAGCUUC
rnacentral:sRNA from 1 species